AGCGAACGCUGGCGGCAGGCCUAACACAUGCAAGUCGAACGAACUCUUCGGAGUUAGUGGCGGACGGGUGAGUAGCACGUGGGAACGUGGCUUUUGACUCGGAAUAACACAGGGACACUUGUGCUAACACCGAAUGAGCCCCUCGGGGGCCAGAUUCAUCGCCAUUGGAGCGGCACGCGUCCGAUUAGCUUGUGGGUGAGGUAACAGCCCACGACGGCGACGCUCAGUAGCGGGGCAGAGAGGAUGACAAGCGACACUGGGACUGAGAUCCGGCCCAGACUCUUACGGGAGGCAGCAGUGGGGAAUCUUGCGCAAUGGGCGAAAUCCUGACGCAGCCAUGCCGCGUGAAUGAUGAAGGUCUUAGGAUUGUAAAAUUCUUUCACCGGGGACGAUAAUGACGGUACCCGGAGAAGAAGCCCCGGCUAACUUCGUG
rnacentral:rRNA from 1 species